rnacentral:rRNA from 1 species
GAUCCUGGCUCAGGACGAACGCUGGCGGCGCGCCUAACACAUGCAAGUCGAACGGAGAAUGCGGAAGAGCUUGCUCGGAAACAUUCUUAGUGGCGGACGGGUGAGUAACACGUGAGCAACCUGCCUGACAGAGGGGGAUAACGUCUGGAAACGGACGCUAAUACCGCAUAACAUCGAGAGACGGCAUCGUCACUCGAUCAAAGGAGCAAUCCGCUGACAGAUGGACUCGCGUCCGAUUAGAUAGUUGGUGAGGUAACGGCUCACCAAGUCGACGAUCGGUAGCCGGACUGAGAGGUUGAACGGCCACAUUUGGGACUGAGACACGGCCCAGACUCCUACGGGAGGCAGCAGUGGGGAAUAUUGGGCAAUGGGGAAACCCUGACCCAGCGACGCCGCGUGAGGGAAGAAGGUUUUCGGAUUGUAAACCUCUGUCUUUGGUGACGAUAAUGACGGUAGCCGAAGAGGAAGCUACGGCUAACUACGUGCC